UACGGGGGGGGUAAGCGUUGUUCGGAAUUACUGGGCGUAAAGGGCUCGUAGGCGGCCAACUAAGUCAUACGUGAAAUCCCUCAGCCUAACUGGGGAACUGCGUGUGAUACUGGAUGGCUUGGAUUUGGGAGAGGGAUGCGGAAUUCCAGGUGUAGCGGUGAAAUGCGUAGAUAUCUGGAGGAACACCGGUGGCGAAGGCGGCAUCCUGGACCAAUAUUGACGCUGAGGAGCGAAAGCCAGGGGAGCAAAGCGGG
rnacentral:rRNA from 1 species